rnacentral:rRNA from 1 species
GGGUUAUGGCUGCUCAGUGUGCGUUGGGAAGGCUGCCGUCUGCCGUGUCAAAAGCGGCGGUUUCAAAUCCCUUCUGUGACCUCUGGUCACGUUAAUUGGAGUGAAAGCUUAUGCUUCACCCUGUGCUUCAGAUGUUCGAGUCGGGUCUGAAGCGCGAGUCCUUACCGAACAGUUAUUAAAUACAUGGGACAUCACUGAUCGCUGGGAUGCCUCGUAUUGCACGUUGGCGUAAGACCCGCGAGGCCACGGCCAUAUCAUCAAUAUAACUAUCAUGAUCAUACAGUUAAUUACAACUGGUAGCGUUGGAUCCCUCGGCAUGGCUAUCGAUGAAGAACGCGGCCAGCUGCGAAAUGUGAUGUGAAUUGCAACUCAAAGCGGUUAUCGUGAAUCAUUGACUAUUUGAACGCAUUGCACCGCCCUUUUGGGAGUGGUACACCCGAUUGAGAGUCAUAAUGACCUUCAGAUUGAGAUACUUGGCCAUUCAAUUGGCAGAUGUCUUUAUGCUGCAACCCAUCUUACUCAGGUGGCAGAGGCAUAUCUGCAUGAGUGUCUCAAUUCUGGCUUCGAGGCUGCACGGUACGUUCAGUAUCGCGUGCCUUCAGAUGGAUUAGUGGCGACUAUGAGAGCGAGUCGGACUCUGUGUAAUAAAUCAUUUCGCGCAGAGGAGUGCUUCAGCACACUUGUUAUCUAUGGCACUGCUUCAAACUCGCCCCCGGGCAAAUAGUGAUGGCUUCACAGCUGUUGCACAUUAUG